UCUUAUUUUCUGGGCACUAGAGGGCAGAUGUUCCGCGGUGUUCCUACAGGUGUUGUUGUCAUUCAGUGUUUGUCCACCGCAGACGGUAAUUAGCUUAGCGGCUCAGCCCUUCACGCUCAGCGCGAUAGCAUCAAUUGGUGACGAUGCGCCCUUAUCCAUUUUCCCGCCAUCAGCUGUCACGGUCCAUUUCCGCUGCACAAACGCCCGCGGAUGUUUUCCUGAUUAAAGCGGCAGAUAGAGCGCGUGUGGGUGGGAUGAGCCGAGUCAAGUGCAGCCUGUCACUAAGGAUGCGGGUCAACAUGCCUGUUCGAGUUAUUUCUCUGGGAUUUUUUUGGCGAGGGGAACGUCCUGCAUUACUUAAGCCAUCUGCUGUCCACAAGCUGAACAAUAACACACUCUGAGGACAUCGGACAGAUGUCUCUGAGGAUGAAGAAUACAUUUUAAAUAUCUUUUGGUGUCAGAAGAAGAUUCUGCCAUGUGAACGGAGUAGACUAUUGUGUCCACAUCUGCUUCUGAGCUUGAGAGACCUUGGAGUUACGACCUUUGACCUCUGUCUUGGCCUCUGUGUCUAUUUGGAGAGAUUCCUCAUCUGAUGAAUCUGGACUCUGUAAUAACAAAAAG